rnacentral:rRNA from 1 species
AAUAAACGUUGGCGGCGUGCUUAACACAUGCAAGUCGCGCGAGAAAGCUUCUUCGGAAGUGAGUAGAGCGGCGGACGGGUGCGUAACGCGUGAGAAUUUGCCCUUCAGUGAGGAAUACCCACGAGAAAUUGUGGUUAAUACUGCAUACGUUCCUACGGGAAGAAAGGUGGCUUUAUGCUGCCGCUGAAGGAUAAGCUUGCGGGCUAUUAGCUAGUUGGUGGGGUAAAGGCCUACCAAGGCGAUGAUGGCUAGCCGGCCUGAGAGGGUGUACGGCCAC